rnacentral:rRNA from 1 species
CUCCUACGGGAGGCAGCAGUGAGGAAUAAUGGUCAAUGGGCGAAAGCUGAACCAGCCAAGUAGCGUGCAGGAUGACGGCCCUAUGGGUUGUAAACUGCUUUUAUAAGGGAAUAAAGUGAGUCUCGUGAGACUAUUUGCAUGUACCUUAUGAAUAAGGACCGGCUAAUUCCGUGCCAGCAGCCGCGGUAAUACGGAAGGUCCGGGCGUUAUCCGGAUUUAUUAGGUUUAAAGGAGAGCGUAGGCCGGAAAUUAAGCGAGUUGUGAAAUGUAAAUGCUCAACAUCUGCACUGCAGCCGCGAACUGGUUUCCUUGAGUACGCACAAAGUGGGCGGAAUUCGUGGUGUAGCGGAGAAAUGCUUAGAUAUCACGAAGAACUCCGAUUGAGAAGGCAGCUACACUAGGAGCAGCAACAAGACGCUGAAGCUCGAAAGUACGGGUAUCGAACAGGAUUAGAUACCACUAGGUAGUCCGCACAGGUAAACGAUGGAUGCCCGAAGAUUGGUCUGAAUAGGUCAGCGGCCAAGCGAAAGCAUGUAAGCAUCCCACCUGGGGAGUACGCCGGCAACGGUGAAACUCAAAGGAAUUGACGGAGGGCCCGCACAAGCGGAAGAACAUGUGGUAUAAUUCGAUGAUACGCGAGGAACCUUACCCGGGCUUGAAUUGCAGAGGAAGGAUUUGGAGACAAUGACGCCCUUAGGGGGUCUCUGUAAAGGUGAUGCAUGGUUGUCGUCAGCUAGUGCCGUGAGGAGUCGGAUUAAGUGCCAUAACGAGCGCAACCCUCAUCCUUAGUUGCAUCAGGUUAAGCUGGGGACUCUAAGGAACUGCCACCGUAAGGAAAAGGGAAGGAGGGGGUGACGUCAAAUCAGCACAGGCCUUAAGUACGGGGAGACACCCGUGUUAAAAUGGCAGG